UAAUAAAUCAGAUAUUUAGAACAUAUGGUAGAUGAUAAAACUUUUCAACCAUAGUUGCAGCGGAAUGAGCAAUCCAUUAGAAGAGUCAAAUAGACUAUAAAGUCUAUUAUCUUCUCCAUGUUAAAAGUCCACCAACAAUGUUUUAUCCCUGUAACAUCAAUCAACAAUUCCUGUCCACAAUCACAUGUAUAACUCAUAAUCGUAAUUGUUGUUCUAAAUUCCUUUUCUCAUUCAGGACGAAGAUAAUUUUCAUC
rnacentral:lncRNA from 1 species